rnacentral:rRNA from 1 species
ACAUGCAAGUCGAACGGCAGCACGGGAGCAAUCCUGGUGGCGAGUGGCGAACGGGUGAGUAAUACAUCGGAACGUGCCCAAUCGUGGGGGAUAACGCAGCGAAAGCUGUGCUAAUACCGCAUACGAUCUACGGAUGAAAGCAGGGGAUCGCAAGACCUUGCGCGAAUGGAGCGGCCGAUGGCAGAUUAGGUAGUUGGUGAGGUAAAGGCUCACCAAGCCUUCGAUCUGUAGCUGGUCUGAGAGGACGACCAGCCACACUGGGACUGAGACACGGCCCAGACUCCUACGGGAGGCAGCAGUGGGGAAUUUUGGACAAUGGGCGAAAGCCUGAUCCAGCCAUGCCGCGUGCAGGAUGAAGGCCUUCGGGUUGUAAACUGCUUUUGUACGGAACGAAAAGGUUCUUUCUAAUAAAGAGAGCUCAUGACGGUACCGUAAGAAUAA